AUGUGGCCAGUGGCCCAAAGGAGAACAAAGCAAGAAGAGAUCGGGAGCGGCAUCUUGUUGACUCAUCCAACAAUCAAGAGAGACGUAUCCGACGGUUCCUGGAGAAAUCAGCCGGCUGAUUCGUAGCAGCAGCCAUAAAAAAGGACACUAUUUGUUAGCUUCAGAGAAACAGUUAGAAAAUUCUGCGUAUACUGUCUUUUUUUUAGAGAGAGAGAGAGAGACUGUGUAUACUGUUUGUAUUUGAGGGAGUAUAGCGUAGUGGGCUUUCUCUCCCGAAGUAGGAAGGAUUUACCUUUGGGCUUUGGGCUUCAAUCUCAGUGGCAGCCGUGACUCUGCUCACCUCACAUCGUGGGUUGCCGCUUCCAGACACUUCCCACAUGAGCUGUGAGGAGAUGAGCCGCCGCCCGCUCCCGCCGGCGGCCGCCCCGCCGCUGGAGGACGACAACCUCCUCUCCGAGAUCCUCCUCCGCCUCUCGCCAGAUCCGUCCUCCCUCCCUCGCGCCUCCCUCGUCUCCAAGCGCUGGCUCGGAAUCGUCUCCGACCCCGGCUUCUCCCGCCGCUUCCGCCUCCACCACCGCCACAACCCACCUCUCCUCGGGUUCUUCUACCACGUCUCGGACUUCGAACCUGCAAUGGAUCCCCCCAAUCGUGUCCCGGAUUCCCACCUCUCUUCGUGCCUCGAGACCCUCGACGACGACCGCAUCUGGUACUUGAUGCCCUUGGGAUCCCGCCAUGGCCUCCUACUCACCUUCUGCGAAUUGUGGAACAAGCUCCUGGUGUGGGACACCUUCAACGUCGAGCAGCACCACCUAGCUGUUCCCCCGGGGUUCGAUUUGGAGAAGGCCUGGGCCAGCGGGGCGGUGUUUCGCGCCGCCGGAGACAACCAAUACUUCCAGGUGGUCUUGGUAAGCACAGAGACAGCUGACCAACAACAUACACGGACAAUCGCCCGUGUUUACUCAUCGGAGACUGGCGGAUCGGGUGAUAUUGUCUCGACACCGCUUCCACCCAAGGCUUCUAGUUCUACUAUGGGCGAGGGCGAAUUUCCCACCAAGAUUACAAUGUUCUUAACUAUCAGUGUGCUAGUUGGGCAUUCCAUUUACUGGUUGCUCAUUGACAGAUCGGCAGAAAUUAACACAUUAGAUGGCAUCCUUGAGUUUGAUUUAGAGAGGCAGAUUCUAGCUGUGAUACCGGUGCCAUUGGAUAUUGCCAAUAAUAGUCUAGCCCAAUUCCAGGUUAUGCGGGCAGAGGGUGGUGGCCUUGGUAUUCUCUCUCUGUCAAAAUUCAGCGCCCAAUUAUGGAAGAUGGAGACCGAUUCUGAUGGUGUUGCUUCAUGGAUGCUGCAAAGAACUAUCAAUCUAGAUAAACUACUUUCCACGAAUUCAGAUAUUGAGAGAGGGCCGCCCCCAAUAAUACUAGGGUUCUGCUGAGUACAAUAAUGUGGUAUUCCUAUGGACACAUAUUGGCGUCUUCACGAUCCAGCUUGAGUCCCUGCCGUUCAAGAAAGUUUCCAAAACCCUCAUGGGUCGCUAUUUUCCAUUCGAAAGUGUCUAUGCUGCAGGAGGCAAGCGUAUUGGUGGUGGACAUGAUGGAGCUGAACUUUUACAUAAUACAUAAGAUGAUUCGUCAGAUGGAUAUGCUAUUGUGAUGUAUUAACUGAAUAUUAUCAAGAGGUCCAGAGAUGGGCUUGGGUUGGGCGUAGGUUCUUCAGUUUCGUGUGGCUGAGAAUGAGGUGCAGAAAUGGCUUGUUGGGGUGUUCCUGUGGUGUGCUCCCUCUUCGUACUACCACAACGGAGAACUGUGCGGUGGACUUGUAGGAAUUUAACUGCGUAAUUUGCUAAUCCGCAUCUAUUAUGUCAUGUUGAACUUUUAUGUGGCCCUUGCUAAUGAAUGUUGAAUGUUGAACUGCAACUGCAACUGCCUGCCUGGUACUACUUUCCUUCUCUUUUGCCUUGGGAUGCCGUGACUGAAA